GGGCUAAUACCGGAUACGCCCUACGGGGGAAAGAUUUAUUGCCGAAGGAUUGGCCCGCGUCUGAUUAGCUAGUUGGUGAGGUAAUGGCUCACCAAGGCGACGAUCAGUAGCUGGUCUGAGAGGAUGAUCAGCCACAUUGGGACUGAGACACGGCCCAAACUCCUACGGGAGGCAGCAGUGGGGAAUAUUGGACAAUGGGCGCAAGCCUGAUCCAGCCAUGCCGCGUGAGUGAUGAAGGCCUUAGGGUU
rnacentral:rRNA from 1 species